UGGAAGCAAUACUGAUACCGUAGACUUGA
rnacentral:piRNA from 1 species